rnacentral:rRNA from 1 species
GACGAACGCUGGCGGCGUGCUUAACACAUGCAAGCCGAACGGAAAGGCCCUGCUUUUGUGGGGUGCUCGAGUGGCGAACGGGUGAGUAACACGUGAGUAACCUGCCCUUGACUUUGGGAUAACUUCAGGAAACUGGGGCUAAUACCGGAUAGGAGCUCCUGCUGCAUGGUGGUGGUUGGAAAGUUUCGGCGGUUGGGGAUGGACUCGCGGCUUAUCAGCUUGUUGGUGGGGUAGUGGCUUACCAAGGCUUUGACGGGUAGCCGGCCUGAGAGGGUGACCGGCCACAUUGGGACUGAGAUACGGCCCAGACUCCUACGGGAGGCAGCAGUGGGGAAUAUUGCACAAUGGGCGGAAGCCUGAUGCAGCAACGCCGCGUGCGGGAUGACGGCCUUCGGGUUGUAAACCGCUUUCGCCUGUGACGAAGCGUGAGUGACGGUAAUGGGUAAAGAAGCACCGGCUAACUACGUG